rnacentral:rRNA from 2 species
GGGUUGUGAGGUUAAGCGACUAAGCGUACACGGUGGAUGCCCUGGCAGUCAGAGGCGAUGAAGGGCGUGCUAAUCUGCGAUAAGCGCCGGUAAGGUGAUAUGAACCGUUAUAACCGGCGAUACCCGAAUGGGGAAACCCAGUGUGAUUCGUCACACUAUCAUUAACUGAAUCCAUAGGUUAAUGAGGCGAACCGGGGGAACUGAAACAUCUAAGUACCCCGAGGAAAAGAAAUCAACCGAGAUUCCCCCAGUAGCGGCGAGCGAACGGGGAGGAGCCCAGAGCCUGAAUCAGCAUGUGUGUUAGUGGAAGCGUCUGGAAAGGCGCGCGAUACAGGGUGACAGCCCCGUACACAAAAGCGCAUGUGCUGUGAGCUCGAUGAGUAGGGCGGGACACGUGGUAUCCUGUCUGAAUAUGGGGGGACCAUCCUCCAAGGCUAAAUACUCCUGACUGACCGAUAGUGAACCAGUACCGUGAGGGAAAGGCGAAAAGAACCCCGGCGAGGGGAGUGAAAAAGAACCUGAAACCGUGUACGUACAAGCAGUGGGAGCACAGGUUUACCUGUGUGACUGCGUACCUUUUGUAUAAUGGGUCAGCGACUUAUAUUCUGUAGCAAGGUUAACCGAAUAGGGGAGCCGGAGGGAAACCGAGUCUUAACCGGGCGUUAAGUUGCAGGGUAUAGACCCGAAACCCGGUGAUCUAGCCAUGGGCAGGUUGAAGGUUGGGUAACACUAACUGGAGGACCGAACCGACUAAUGUUGAAAAAUUAGCGGAUGACCUGUGGCUGGGGGUGAAAGGCCAAUCAAACCGGGAGAUAGCUGGUUCUCCCCGAAAGCUAUUUAGGUAGCGCCUCGUGAAUUCAUCUCCGGGGGUAGAGCACUGUUUCGGCUAGGGGGCCAUCCCGGCUUACCAACCCGAUGCAAACUGCGAAUACCGGAGAAUGUUAUCACGGGAGACACACGGCGGGUGCUAACGUCCGUCGUGAAGAGGGAAACAACCCAGACCGCCAGCUAAGGUCCCAAAGUCAUGGUUAAGUGGGAAACGAUGUGGGAAGGCCCAGACAGCCAGGAUGUUGGCUUAGAAGCAGCCAUCAUUUAAAGAAAGCGUAAUAGCUCACUGGUCGAGUCGGCCUGCGCGGAAGAUGUAACGGGGCUAAACCAUGCACCGAAGCUGCGGCAGCGAACGUAUCACUUAAAGCGAUUCAGCGGGUUACGAUUGACGGAGCGAAGCGACGUCAAAGCGUAUACAAAGUCGAGUCGGUUUAAGGAUACGUUCGUUGGGUAGGGGAGCGUUCUGUAAGCCUGUGAAGGUGUGUCGUGAGGCAUGCUGGAGGUAUCAGAAGUGCGAAUGCUGACAUAAGUAACGAUAAAGCGGGUGAAAAGCCCGCUCGCCGGAAGACCAA